GUGUCAGCAGCCGCGGUAAUACGUAGGGGGCGAGCGUUGUCCGGGAUUACUGGGCGUAAAGGGUGCGUAGGCGGCCCUUUAAGUCGGAUGUGAAAGCCCGCGGCUUAACCGUGGGGUUGCAUUUGAAACUGGGAGGCUUGAGUGUCGGAGAGGGCAGUGGAAUUCCCGGUGUAGCGGUGAGAUGCGUAGAUAUCGGGAGGAACACCAGUGGCGAAGGCGACUGCCUGGACGAUAACUGACGCUGAGGCACGAAAGCUGGGGGAGCAAACAGGAUUAGAUACCCUGGUAGUCCUAGCCGUAAACGAUGGGUACUAGGUGUAGGGGUUUCGAUACCUCUGUGCCGCAGUUAACGCAAUAAGUACCCCGCCUGGGGAGUACGGUCGCAAGACUGAAACUCAAAGGAAUUGGCGG
rnacentral:rRNA from 1 species